CUUCCCUUGGGAGUGGUGGAAAAUUGUCCAGAAGGAGCUCGAAGAGAAGCAAAUCCAGUGGAAAUAGAUUUUCUUUCUCCAGUUUCUCAGCAAAAUUCUUAGCAUUCAUUCUUGGAUGAACCCAAACCACCUUUAUCUCUAAACUUGUUAGUGACUGAAUGGAAUGCGGUGCUUCUGUCGGAACAUCUUUAAGAUAUGUACAGCCCUGGGGUGUCUGAAGUAGAGUCAGCUCUAUUCAAAGGCCAAAAUCUGAGAGGGAAAAUGGAAUAGAUAUCAAAAGGAAGCUCAAAUGAUUUUGCUGAAGUCAAGAUGCUGAAUAAGUGAAGGCAAUAGGAGUCCAAUUAAAUGCUUCUCCAUAAAUACCUGGUUACUUGCUUACAAAAUGUAGGCCUAACUUUGGGAAGCCACCUGCACCAUCAUCUUACUAAGAGAUUGGUUCAGUGAGAUAGAACCAUCUACAUUACCAGCAGAAAGAACCUAGAAAAGUCAUCACGCUGUAUCACUCAAGACUCAAGACUGAGGAAUGAAGAAUAAGAAGGAGGAAUUUGUAACUGCGGGCCCCCCAGGACAGUUCAAUUGAUCCCAUCUUUUCAAAAGAGUCAUUAAGAGUGGUUUAUCAAGAACUGAGACCCCCUGGGAAAUCUUUAAUCUUUACAAAGUCAAGUGCUCCAACUUGUGGCAAAAUUGCUGAAAACCUAAAGGUUCCAGAAGCUGUAAAAGUUUACAAAGAACUGCAGAAUUUUACCAAGCUUCUUUUGUGUCCUGAGACCUUGGCUUGAUGAUCAUCAGGUUGGGGGGUUGGUCCCAAAAAUAUGAGUGGACGAAAAUGCAGUUACACCCAAUUUUGUGGUCAGAGAUGGUUGGACAGAAAUGUAGGUUGCACUCCUUUUUGUGACUAAGAGUCACGCUAAACUGCUGUCAUCCUCAGGGAAUUGCACUGGCCAUUGGAAGGGACAUUCCAAUAAGAUAACAUCAUUUAAAAGUGCACUUAAAUGUAAAGACUUGAAAAUUCCAAAGUAGCUUUAUUGAAAGUUUUGUUGCAAAAUGAAAAAAUUAAGUUAUAAAAGGUACCUAAAAGAAAAGCCUAAGAGGUCAUGGCUUUAGGGACAUCCUGUAAUCUACCUUCUAAGGAGAGUCCAAAAUGAGACCCUCUCAGAGUUAAAGAGACUCAGAGAUUUUCUGGAAAACUGUUAUGUUGAACAUUACUGGAAUUGUUCAAUACUGCCAGGUAUAAUUAUUGCUCAUCCUGACUGAAACUUGACAAGAUAUUUGAAAGGAUUUAGCAACUUGUGAUCAGAAAUUCAGCCAAACUAGAAGCUAAUAUCCAGAGCCUGAUAGGAAUUUUCUUUCAAGGCCUUCUUUCCUAAGUUAGACUAAAAUUAAGCACCCAGAGGAAAAGAAGCAAACUAGGGAUGACACAGUUGGACAGAUCAGCCCUGAGCUAACAUCUGAUGCCAAUCCUCCUCUUUUUUGCUGAGGAAGACUGGCCCUGAGCUAACAUCUGUGCCCAUCUUCCUCUACUUUAUAUGUGGGACACCUACCACAGCAUGGCUUGAUGAGCAGUGCCAUGUCUGCACCCGGGAUCCAAACUGGUGGACCCUGGGCUGCCAAAGCGGAACAUGCACACUUAACCACCGCGCCUCUGGGCCAGCCCCUGGAUGGCAGAAAGAAGCUAGAGCAGUUGUCACCCUACAACCUUCAAGAUUGAACAGUGAACAACAGAAAGGGGGGAUUAGUAACCAGAGACCCUCCAGGACCAGUUCAACUGACCCAUCUGAUCCACAGAUUCCUCUCCUCAGGUCUCGGGUCUGUCAUUUGGAUCCAGUCAAGAACACCGCAUACCUCAGAGGAUGGAGAAGCUAUAAACUGCAGCUAAUCCAGGUUCCUGAAUACACAGACAAAACCAAGUGACAUCAAUAAUGGCUUAUACAAGUUCCGGUAUAUAAGGUUAACUAACAUUUGACAAGGAAGCCAAGAGUACCAAAUGAGGAGAGGAUAAUCUCUUCAGCUAAUGGUACUGGGAAAACUGGAGAAAUGCAUGCAGAACAACGAAAUCAGAUCCCUGUUUCACACCACUCAUAAAAAUUAACUUGAAAUGGAUCAAAGACUUAAGCAUAAGUCUGGAUACUACAAAACUCCUAGAAGAAAAAGUGGGGAAAAAGCUUAUCGAUAUUGGUCCUGGCAAUGAUUUUUUUAACAUGGCACUAAAAGCACAAACAACAAAAGCAAAAGUCAACAAAUGGGACUACAUGAAACUCAAAAUCUUCUGUACAGCAAAAGAAACAAUUAACAAGAUGAAAAGACAACCCACAGAAUGGAAGAAAAUUUUUGCAAGCCCUAUAUUGGAUAAGGGGUUAAUAUCCAAAUGUAUAAAGAACUUACACUGCUUCAUAACAUAAAAUCAAACAAUCUAAUUUAAAAAAAUAGGCAGAAGAACUAAAUGGACAUUUUCCCAAAGAGAACAUCAAAAUGACCAACAGACACAUGAAAAGAUGCACAACGUCACUAAUCAUGGGAAAUGC
ensembl:lncRNA